AACGAACGCUGGCGGCAUGCCUAACACAUGCAAGUCGAACGAGACCUUCGGGUCUAUUGGCGCACGGGUUCGUAACGCGUGGGAACCUGCCCUUAGGUUCGGAAUAACUCUCCGAAAGGGGUGCUAAUACGGGAUCAUGUCUUCGGACCAAAGAUUUAUUGCAUUUGGAUGGGCCCACGUUGAAUUAGCUGGUGCUGAGGCUAAAAGACUACCAAGGCCACGAUCAGUAGCUGGUUUGUGAGGCUGGUCACCGACACUGGGACUGAGACACGGCCCAGACUCCUACGCGAGGCAGCAGUGCGGAAUAUUGCACCAUGGGCGAAAGCCUGAUCCAGCACUGCCGCGUGAGUGCUGAAGGUCUUAGGGUUGUAAAGCUCUUUUACCCGGGAUGAUAAUGACAGUACCGAGUGAAUAAGCCCCGGCUAACUCCGUG
rnacentral:rRNA from 1 species